GGAAAGCUCAAAUGGGGCGUUGGCCCCCGAGGCAGCAGUAAAGAAUUUUGUGCAAUAUACGAAAGUAAGACACAGAGAGGGCACCUUUGCCUAGUCCGUCAAAUUAAGUGCCAGCAGACGCGGUGAAACUUAAGGGCUAGUCUUAUAGGCAAAAGCGUAAAGGGUGUGAUAGGCCGUCUUAUUAAAGAGAGUAAAUGGAAUUUUUCUGUAAUGGUGGUAUGUGUAAAUAGGAAAAAGAACUUUAGACGUGAGGACUAUUUACUUCUAAGAUUAUAAUGUGUUGGCUAAAACACGAGAGUAUGGGGAGCAAACAGGAUUAGGUACCCUGGUAGUCCAUACUGUAAAUAAUGAAAAAGAUGUGAAGCAAUUCUAAAAGGUAAGAAAUUUUCCGCUUGAGUAGUACGAUCGCAAGAUUAAAAUUCAAAAACUUGCCUGUUCACUGUUUUAAUUAGAGGAGCGUGUCGUUUAAUUCGAUAGUCCGCGAGAGACCUUACCCAAACUUGAAUCCCUUAUUGACAGGUAUUGCAUGGCCGUCGUCAAUUUGUGUAUUAAACAUAAAACAAAUUAAACCCAGUGGGUUGUCUAUUGGAUGAAGUCAGGUCUUAUUGUCCUAAUGUUUGGGGAUUAGAUGCGCUACAUUUUUUUAUACAAUGGGAAACUUUGAAUGUGAAACCCAAAAAUAAGAGUUCGGAAGGUGCCUGGAAGAUAACGGAAAGUUGGAUUUAAUAGUAAUUGAAAAGUAGAGCGUUUCAAUGAAAUUUAUUCAGUGUUAGUACAAAUUGCCCGUCGCCUUUGCUUAGAAAGGUUGUUUGGUUGCCCCUCAAAAGGGUUCCUAAUAUCUUCGAGGUAGAGUAA
rnacentral:rRNA from 1 species